GACAGGUGGUGCAUGGUUGUCGUCAGCUCGUGUCGUGAGAUGUUGGGUUAAGUCCCGCAACGAGCGCAACCCUUGUCAGUCAGUUACUAACAUUCAGUUGAGGACUCUGGUCGAGACUGCCGAGGUUAAACUCGGAGGAAGGUGGGGAUGACGUCAAAUCAUCAUGCCCCUUAUGUUCUGGGCUACACACGUGCUACAAUGGUCGGUACAAUGAGAGGCAAACCUGUGAGGGGGAGCAAAUCACCAAAACCUGAUCCCAGUUCGGAUUGUAGGCUGAAACUCGCCUAGCAUGAAGUUGGAGUUGCUA
rnacentral:rRNA from 1 species